rnacentral:sRNA from 1 species
ACACAUCGAUGCGGCGCCGCCCUCUCUUCCCCGUCCGAGCGGCGCCGCCCUUUUCCCCUCCCCACCGUGUCCCCUUCUCCGGCCGCCAGCGCGCGUCCCCGGCACCGCCGCCGGAGUGGAUCGAGGCGGCUCCGUCCCCGGCCGCCACCGUAGGUGCGGAUUGAGGCGGCUCCCUCCCUGGACGCCAUCGCAGGCGUAGAUCGAGGCUGCUCCUUCCCCAGCCGCCGACGGCGGGCGUCCAUGGCCGCGUCGGGUCCUGAUCUUCUAUGGAGCUUAUGCACGCGCUAGCAUCGACGCAUCCUCCCCCAACAGCCUCUCAACUCCUCUCCGGAUGUGAUUCCAGCAAGAACAAUUCCUGGGUGCCUUUUUGAUUGACGAAGUGGAUUCCGGUGAGAACUUCUGGCUUGCAGAUUUGUGGCGUGCUGGCGAGAAGUUUGAACGGCAAGAACCCGGUGAAUUUGCUAAUUUGUGGCGUGCUUGUUGAUGAUCACGGCGACGGUCACUGCAAGAAGUUUUUUUUUGGCUUGUUGAAGAUUUCUGGUUUGCUUUGGUUAGCUUGUUGAAGUAUUUAUUGACAUGACAAGUACUUAUACGAUUCGGAAACGGCAAGAGUUUGAUUAGAGUUUAAUUAGGAUUGGUUUGUCUUUCAAUGUUUCUAAAAGUGGUGUGAACAUGCGGAUUCCCAAAACAUUGUCAGUUUCCAAUGUAUUGUAUGACUCGGUUUUCCUUAUUUUCAUUUUGACUGAUUGUCCGAUU